GAAAAGCCGACGAACGAACGAGGCCAGUGAUCACCGGCACAGAAUUCAGAAAGGCUGGAGCCAACCAUUCUCUUCGGUUUAGGGGGUGCUGGUGGUCUGGCUGAGUUNUUAAACAAUAAGUGUGGCAAGGGGAGUGUGUAGCUCAGUGGUAGACCCUUUCCCCAGAAGUAGGCAAUGACAAAACACUUCUCUAUUUCUGCCAAGAAAAUUUCCUAGAGGUUCCCAUGUGGUCAAGCAGGAGUUGGACACGACUUGAUGGCACCCCAACAAUAACAGAAGGAGUGGCAAGAAGAUUUCUUUUUUUAAAAUUACUGGCAUGAGAACAAUGCUUAUUGUGUGACAUACUUGUGAAUUAGCAAAAGGGGAGGGGGAAAUAGGAUAAGUAUAUGAAACCCUGAAGUUGCUUCAGGACUUGAAUAUUAUUCUGGAAUAUCCAAAUAUAGUGGAAUAACUAAGUGAUAUCUGGACACAGCCUUAGUCUGAACCUACAUUCUACAGUUUUACAUGUUGUACCUUUAGAUGAUUUUCCCUCCACAAGCAGCUAAUGCCAUGUAAACUGAACAAAUUUAUUACAGAUGACAUAAGUUCCUUUCUGCCCAAAUCCAUGCCGGCAAUUCGGGUUCACAGUCCCAGUCAUGUCUGAGAAUUCCNUCAGUUUCCCAAGCUGUAUGAAGACUUUCCAAAGGACUACUGCACUGUUCUACUAGCAGAUUCAAAGACACAGCUCUGCCAGUCUGGAUCAGUAAGUAAAAGGGCCUAAUAGCAUCCUUAGAAACUAACA
rnacentral:lncRNA from 1 species